rnacentral:rRNA from 1 species
GGGCUCUGAUUGCUUAUUGCACCACAUGUGUUUUUCUUUGAAACAAACUUGCUUUGGCGGUGGGCCCAGCCUGCCGCCAGAGGUCUAAACUUACAACCAAUUUUUUAUCAACUUGUCACACCAGAUUAUUACUAAUAGUCAAAACUUUCAACAACGGAUCUCUUGGUUCUCGCAUCGAUGAAGAACGCAGCGAAAUGCGAUACGUAAUAUGAAUUGCAGAUAUUCGUGAAUCAUCGAAUCUUUGAACGCACAUUGCGCCCUCUGGUAUUCCGGAGGGCAUGCCUGUUUGAGCGUCGUUUCUCCCUCAAACCGCUGGGUUUGGUGUUGAGCAAUACGACUUGGGUUUGCUUGAAAGACGGUAGUGGUAAGGCGGGAUCGCUUUGACAAUGGCUUAGGUCUAACCAAAAACAUUGCUUGCGGCGGUAACGUCCACCACGUAUAUCUUCAAACUUUGACCUCAAAUCAGGUAGGACUACCCGCUGAACUUAAGCAUAUCAAAAGCGGAGGAA